rnacentral:rRNA from 1 species
UACGUAGGUGUCAAGCGUUGUCCGGAUUUAUUGGGCGUAAAGCGCCCGCAGGCGGCUUGCCAAGUUCGAUGUGAAAUCUCCCGGCUCAACUGGGAGGGUGCAUCGAAAACUGGCAGGCUUGAGGCAGGGAGAGGGAUGUGGAAUUCCAGGUGUAGUGGUGAAAUGCGUAGAGAUCCGGAGGAACCCCAGAGGCGAAGGCGGCAGCCUGGUUGGUAUCUGACGCUCGGACACGACAGCAUGGGGAGCGAACGGG